UUGAAGAGUUUGAUCAUGGCUCAGAUUGAACGCUGGCGGCAGGCCUAACACAUGCAAGUCGAGCGGUAGCACAGAGAGCUUGCUCUCGGGUGACGAGCGGCGGACGGGUGAGUAAUGUCUGGGAAACUGCCUGAUGGAGGGGGAUAACUACUGGAAACGGUAGCUAAUACCGCAUAAUGUCGCAAGACCAAAGUGGGGGACCUUCGGGCCUCAUGCCAUCAGAUGUGCCCAGAUGGGAUUAGCUAGUAGGUGGGGUAACGGCUCACCUAGGCGACGAUCCCUAGCUGGUCUGAGAGGAUGACCAGCCACACUGGAACUGAGACACGGUCCAGACUCCUACGGGAGGCAGCAGUGGGGAAUAUUGCACAAUGGGCGCAAGCCUGAUGCAGCCAUGCCGCGUGUGUGAAGAAGGCCUUCGGGUUGUAAAGCACUUUCAGCGGGGAGGAAGGCGAUAAGGUUAAUAACCUUGUCGAUUGACGUUACCCGCAGAAGAAGCACCGGCUAACUCCGUGCCAGCAGCCGCGGUAAUACGGAGGGUGCAAGCGUUAAUCGGAAUUACUGGGCGUAAAGCGCACGCAGGCGGUCUGUCAAGUCGGAUGUGAAAUCCCCGGGCUCAACCUGGGAACUGCAUUCGAAACUGGCAGGCUAGAGUCUUGUAGAGGGGGGUAGAAUUCCAGGUGUAGCGGUGAAAUGCGUAGAGAUCUGGAGGAAUACCGGUGGCGAAGGCGGCCCCCUGGACAAAGACUGACGCUCAGGUGCGAAAGCGUGGGGAGCAAACAGGAUUAGAUACCCUGGUAGUCCACGCCGUAAACGAUGUCGAUUUGGAGGUUGUGCCCUUGAGGCGUGGCUUCCGGAGCUAACGCGUUAAAUCGACCGCCUGGGGAGUACGGCCGCAAGGUUAAAACUCAAAUGAAUUGACGGGGGCCCGCACAAGCGGUGGAGCAUGUGGUUUAAUUCGAUGCAACGCGAAGAACCUUACCUGGUCUUGACAUCCACAGAACUUUCCAGAGAUGGAUUGGUGCCUUCGGGAACUGUGAGACAGGUGCUGCAUGGCUGUCGUCAGCUCGUGUUGUGAAAUGUUGGGUUAAGUCCCGCAACGAGCGCAACCCUUAUCCUUUGUUGCCAGCGGUCCGGCCGGGAACUCAAAGGAGACUGCCAGUGAUAAACUGGAGGAAGGUGGGGAUGACGUCAAGUCAUCAUGGCCCUUACGACCAGGGCUACACACGUGCUACAAUGGCAUAUACAAAGAGAAGCGACCUCGCGAGAGCAAGCGGACCUCAUAAAGUAUGUCGUAGUCCGGAUUGGAGUCUGCAACUCGACUCCAUGAAGUCGGAAUCGCUAGUAAUCGUAGAUCAGAAUGCUACGGUGAAUACGUUCCCGGGCCUUGUACACACCGCCCGUCACACCAUGGGAGUGGGUUGCAAAAGAAGUAGGUAGCUUAACCUUCGGGAGGGCGCUUACCACUUUGUGAUUCAUGACUGGGGUGAAGUCGUAACAAGGUAACCGUAGGGGAACCUGCGGUUGGAUCACCUCCUU
rnacentral:rRNA from 1 species